rnacentral:lncRNA from 1 species
GGCCAUCCUAUAAGGAGGAAUAAAAAUGGGCUUGGUGCCCGACUCAACAUCAAUAAUAAAAUCAAUAUCUCAAUCUGAAGACAUACUAGGCAAGUUCGUAGGGAACACAUCUAUAAACUCACGAAUGACACAGACAGAAUUUAUGAAAAGAGGCAAAAUAACACUGGUGUCACGAAUAUGGACCAAGUAAGAUAAACAUCCCUACUCAACCAAUUUAUGAGCCUGAACAUAAGAUUUAAUCCUCGUAGGACCCGAAUAAAG